rnacentral:rRNA from 1 species
AGGACGAACGCUGGCGGCGUGCCUAAUGCAUGCAAGUCGCACGCAGGGUGCUUGCACUCUGAGUGGCGCACGGCUGAGGAUCACGUGGGAACAUGCCUCCUUGUGGGGGACAACAGCGCGAAAGCGGUGCUAAUCCCGCAUACGCUCGGCAACGAGGAAAGCGGCAACGUGCAGGGAGAGUGGCCCGCGGCCCAUCAGGUCGUUGGUGGGGUAAUGGCCUACCAAGCCGGUGACGGGUAGCUGGUCUGUGAGGACAACCAGCCAGACUGGGACUGAGACACGGCCCAGACUCCUACGGGAGGCAGCAGUCGGGAAUUUUGCGCAAUGGACGAAAGUCUGACGCAGCAACGCCGCGUGAGGGAUGAAGGCCUUCGGGUUGUAAACCUCUUUUAUCAGGGAAGAUAAUGACGGUACCUGAUGAAUAAGUCACGGCUAACUACGUGCCAGCAGCCGC